rnacentral:rRNA from 1 species
AUUGAACGCUGGCGGCAUGCCUUACACAUGCAAGUCGAACGGCAGCACGGGAGCAAUCCUGGUGGCGAGUGGCGAACGGGUGAGCAAUAUAUCGGAACGUGCCCGGUCGUGGGGAUAACGUAGCGAAAGCUACGCUAAUACCGCAUACGAUCUACGGAUGAAAGCGGGGGAUCGCAAGACCUCGCGCGAUUGGAGCGGCCGAUAUCAGAUUAGGUAGUUGGUGAGGUAAAGGCUCACCAAGCCGACGAUCUGUAGCUGGUCUGAGAGGACGACCAGCCACACUGGGACUGAGACACGGCCCAGACUCCUACGGAGGCAGCAGUGGGGAAUUUUGGACAAUGGGCGCAAGCCUGAUCCAGCAAUGCCGCGUGCAGGAUGAAGGCC